rnacentral:rRNA from 1 species
CCCGCUGAACUUAAGCAUAUCAAUAAGGCGAGGAACAGAAACCAACAGGGAUUCCCCUAGUAGUGGCGAAUGAAGCGGGAAAAGCUCAAGUUUGAAAUCUGAGACUUGUCUCAUAGUUGUAAGCUGAAGAGGCAAUGACCGACGAGCUCCGGGUCCUAUUUCUUUGGAACAAGAUGUCAUGGAGGGUGAGAACCCCGUCUAUGGCUCGGAUACCUUUGUCCUUGUGUCGCGUCCUCGAAGAGUCGGGUGGUUUGGGAAUGCAGCUCAAAAUGGGUGGUAAAUUUCAUCUAAGGCUAAAUAUUGGCGAGAGACCGAUAGCAAACAAGUAGAGUGAUCGAAAGGUGAAAAGUACUAAGAAAAGAGAGUGAAACAGUACGUGAAAUUGUUGAAAGGGAAGCGUUUGGCAUCCGCCCAUGGCGUCAGUCGAUCAUCCAGGCUUCUGUCUGGUGCACUUGUCUGGCGUCGGGUCACCGUCAACUUUGCUCACUGGAUAAAGGUCUUGGGAACGUGUCUCCUUUCGGGGAGAGUUACAUGCCCUUGACGUCAUACAAUGUGGUGGGGUUGUGGUCCGCGGUUUCUCCUAGGACGCUGGCGUAAUGGUUCCAAGCGACCCGUCUUGAAACACGG